rnacentral:tRNA from 1 species
GGCCUAUUAGCUCAGUGGUUAGAGCAGCAUUCUUAUAAAAUGUGUGUGCCGGGUUCAAUUCUCGGAUAGGUCA